UACGUAGGGUCCGAGCGUUGUCCGGAUUUCUUGGGCGUAAAGAGCUCGUAGGCGGUUCCGUACGUCAGAUGUGAAAACUCAGGGCUCAACCCGGAGACGCCAUCUGAUACUGCGGUGACUGGAGUCUGGUAGGGGAACACGGAAUUCCUGGUGUAGCGGUGAAAUGCGCAGAUAUCAGGAGGAACACCGAUGGCGAAGGCAGUGUUCUGGGCCAGUACUGACGCUGAGGAGCGAAAGCGUGGGGAGCAAACAGG
rnacentral:rRNA from 1 species